UUGCAGGAGCCUCCCGGGCUAGUCUGAUAAUAGUAAUUCAUGAGGAAUUAAGCCCCAAAGCUCCUGCUAGAUUGGUGCCAUUCGUGUUGCAGUUCUGUCUCAAAUCUUAUCUGGCUUAACUGUGUCAAAGCAAUGUCUAGAUUU
rnacentral:snoRNA from 2 species